rnacentral:miRNA from 1 species
UUGCUGAAGUGACUUGAUGA